GAAAAAGGAAGAUGGCGGCGGCCGUGAACCAGCGUGGCCUUAACCAGCCAUAGUUAUGAUAUUAUAAGACCUGUGAGUGUCUGCCUGACCUGUAGUUUGAAGAUGCUCUUUCUGAAGUCUUAGGAGGGCCCCUCAGUGAGGAUGCCCGAAGCUGAAGGCUUUACUUCUGUUUCAAGGACUGGAUGCAUCAUCACUAUCUCCAUCAUCACCAGCAGCAGCAGCAACAAAGAUAAACUCACUUGUUAGAGUGAAGACUAACA